GACGAACGCUGGCGGCGUGCCUAACACAUGCAAGUCGAACGGAAAGGCCCUGCUUUUGUGGGGUGCUCGAGUGGCGAACGGGUGAGUAACACGUGAGUAACCUGCCCUUGACUUUGGGAUAACUUCAGGAAACUGGGGCUAAUACCGGAUAGGAGCUCCUGCUGCAUGGUGGGGGUUGGAAAGUUUCGGCGGUUGGGGCUGGACUCGCGGCUUAUCAGCUUGUUGGUGGGGUAGUGGCUUACCAAGGCUUUGACGGGUAGCCGGCCUGAGAGGGUGACCGGCCACAAUGGGACUGAGAUACGGCCCAGACUGCUACGGGAGGCAGCAGUGGGGAAUAUUGCACAAUGGGCGGAAGCCUGAUGCAGCAACGCCGCGUGCGGGAUGACGGCCUUCGGGUUGUAAACCGCUUUCGCCUGUGACGAAGCGUGAGUGACGGUAAUGGGUAAAGAAGCACCGGCUAACUACGUG
rnacentral:rRNA from 1 species